GAGAGGAAGGUGGAGGCUGCGACGGUAAGAGGCGGGGUGCGGGGGGUGUCCGGAAGUACGGGGGGUAAAGGGGUCGUGGGGGGUUUGUGGCGUUGUUCGUGAAAACUCACAACUCAAUUGUGGGCGGGCGGGCGAGACGGGCAGACUGGAGUACUGCAGGGGAGACUGGAAUUCCUGGUGUAGCGGUGGAAUGCGCAGAUAUCAGGAGGAACACCGGUGGCGAAGGCGGGUCUCUGGGCAGUAACUGACGCUGAGGAGCGAAAGCGUGGGGAGCGAACAGGAUUAGAUACCCCGGUAGUC
rnacentral:rRNA from 1 species